rnacentral:rRNA from 1 species
UGAAUGAUGAAGGUCUUAGGAUAGUAAAAUUCUUUCACCGGGGGCGAUAAUGACGGUACCCGGAGAAGAAGCCCCGGCUAACUUCGUGCCAGCAGCCGCGGUAAUACGAAGGGGGCGAGCGUUUCUCGGAAUUACUGGGCGUAAAGGGCGCGUAGGCGGAUCGUUAAGUCAGGGGUGAAAUCCCGGGGCUCAACCUCGGAAUCGCCCUUGAUACUGGCGAUCUUGAGUAUGAGAGAGGUGUGUGGAACUCCGAGUGUAGAGGUGAAAUUCGUAGAUAUUCGGAAGAACACCAGUGGCGAGGGCGACAUUCUGGCUCAUUACUGACGCUGAGGCGCGAAAGCGUGGGGAGCACACAGGAUUAGAUACCCUGGUUGU